ensembl:lncRNA
CUCCCACCUCCCCUGCCAGUACUUCCUGGGAUCACUUUCCAGAUAAAUGUCUGGCAUUUGAAUCCGAGGCUUGGGUCUGCUUGCAAGGAAACCCCAACUAAGACAACACCUAAUGUGCAACGUGUGUCGAGCGCUUUAUGCCAAGCUCUGUGUUCAACACUUCACACGGCUUGACUCAUUCCAUCCUAUGACAGGCAGGGCUCUGAGGUAGGGACCGUUAUUGUCUCCAUUUCGCGGAUGCAGAAACUGACUCAGAGCUGGGGCUUGAAGCCAAUCGACUCCUCCCUGACCCCAUCCUCCAGCUGGCCUGAAUUGCUUUCAGUUCCUCAAACUGCUCUGCUCACUCUCCUCCUUCCCUCUGCCUUCUGAGGCACAGGGAAGAUAAGUCACUUGGUCACAGCAAGUUAGAACCACUUGGACUCAAGAGGAGACCUCCAGGCUGGAAGCCCUUACACUUCACCCUUGUGCAUGGGAUGAAGAUUUUCUGGAUACUGACGUGAUGAUGAACAUGAUGACAGCUACCGCUCCCUGAUCACCUGCUGUGCUCAGUCCUCAUUACCUACCCGAUUUUUACACACAGAACCAGACUGAGACAUAGAAGUGCUCCUGCUGCUGCUGCUGCUAAGUCGCUUCAGUUGUGUCCGACUCUGUGUGACCCCAUAGACGGCAGCCCACCAGGCUCCCCCGUCCCUGGGAUUCUCCAAGCAAGAACACUGGAGUGGGUUGCCAUUUCCUUCUCCAAUGCAGGAAAGUGAAAAGUGAAAGUGAAGUCUCUCAGUUGUGUCUGACUCUUCACAACCCCAUGGACUGCAGCCUAGCAGGCUCCUCCAUCCAUGGGAUUUUCCAGGCAAGAGUACUGGAGUGGGGUGCCAUUGCCUUCUCCAAGAAGUGCUCCAGGCAGGCUAAUAAUCUGGGAUCCCCUCAACUUGAUAUUUUAAAAAGUGUUUCAGAGUGGUUCAAGGAUGUGGAGAAACUGACAUUUCUGUUCAUAAAAUAGAUAAUUUCUUUUUUUAGAAACAAAAAAUUUUAUUACAUAUACAGAAUAAACUGUUGUCUUUUCCUUGGAAUUUUCCUGAAAUUGCAGUUGUCCAGGCAGUUUUCUGGGAGCUAAAGGGCAUAUGGUUCAGGUGACGAGUGUUGUGUGCUCAGCCGUGUCUGACUCUUUGCCACCCCAUGGACUGCAGCCCGUCAGGCACCUCUGUCCAUGGGCUUCUCCAGGCAAGAAUACUGGAGUGGGUUGUCAUUCCCUUCUCCAGUGGAUCUUCCCGACCCAGGGAUUGAACCCUCCUGUGGCUCCGGCACUGGCAGGUGGUUCUUUACCACUGAGCCACCUGGGAAGCCCAAGAUUCAGGUGAUGAAUAAACAAACCAGCAUGCAGCUCUGACCGGGACCAAGCUGACAGACCAAGGCUCUGAGAGAGCCGUCGCCUAGCUGGACUCUGGCGUGGUGGUGCCAAGGACGGGAAUGUUCUAGUUUCCUCCAGAGGAGGCUAUUUCCCUCUGAGCGUCGGUUAAGUCUCAGUGAGCGUGAACACUCAAGUUAACCAGCACUGUGUUUUGAUCUAGACCAGUGCUAUUUGGGUUCCCCUUCUAGUCUUGCACCCUAAUAGGCUGCCUGGCUGAUCAGUUCUGUGCAUAUAUUCACAUGUAUUAGUUCUACCUUCAUUUAAAAAAAAAUGUGUACACAAAUUGAAUCAUAUAAAGUCACAUUGAUCUGUAACUUGCUUUUCUUUUUCCCCACAUUACAAUAAAUUCUGAGAUCCUUUCACAUCAGCCUAUGUGUAGAUCCAUCACAUUCUUGUGUUAAAAAAAAAGAAAAAAGUACCAAGGUGGUCCACCAGAUGGAUGUACUGUAAUGUGGGACUUAGCAACUUUAAUGAGCACAUGAAUUGCCUCGGGGACCUUGUUAAAUUGCAGCUUCAGAUUCGGCAGGUCCAAGGUGGCACCUGGUGCCGUGGGAGCUGCUGGCAGGAUCACACCACGUGACCUCUACCCACAAGCGAGGGACACUUGGCUGUUAGAGACAGUGUGCUGCAGGAAACAGGCUUGACUAUCUGAAAGGAGUCCUAGAGAACAGG